rnacentral:rRNA from 1 species
GUUAGGAAUAUUGGACAAUGGGCGCAAGCCUGAUCCAGCCAUGCCGCGUGAGUGAUGAAGGCCUUCGGGUUGUAAAGCUCUUUAGCCGAUGAUUAUAAUGACUGUAGUCGGAAAAUAAGCCCCGGCUAACUUCGUGCCAGCAGCCGCGGUAAUACGAAGGGGGCGAGCGUUAUUCGGAAUCACUGGGCGUAAAGCGUGCGUAGGCGGCUUUGCAAGUUGGGAGUGAAAGCCCAGGGCUCAACCCUGGAAUUGCUCUCAAAACUGCAAGACUCGAAUUCGGAAGAGGAUAGCGGAAUUGUCAGUGUAGCAGUGAAAUGCGUAGAUAUUGACAGGAACACCAGUGGCGUAAGCGGCUAUCUGGACCGAUAUUGACGCUGAGGCACGAAAGCGUGGGGAUCAAACAGGAUUAGAAACCCGGGUAGUCC